rnacentral:rRNA from 1 species
AAACGUAGGAGGCGAGCGUUAUCCGGAUUUACUGGGCGUAAAGAGCGUGUAGGCGGUUUAGUAAGUCGGACGUGAAAGCUCCCGGCUCAACUGGGAGAGGCCGUUCGAUACUGCUGGACUUGAGGGCAGUAGAGGGAGGUGGAAUUCCGGGUGUAGCGGUGAAAUGCGUAGAUAUCCGGAGGAACACCAGUGGCGAAGGCGGCCUCCUGGACUGUCCCUGACGCUAAGACGCGAAAGCUAGGGUAGCAAACGGGAUUAGAUACCCCGGUAGUCC